rnacentral:ribozyme from 12 species
AGAAAAGAAAGGAAAAGAAAAAAGAAACCGUAGAAAAAAGACCACCCCUCUUCGCGUCGUUGUUGUUGUUUGGUGUUUCCUUUGUUUUCCAUUCAUAUUUUUUCCUUUCUUUUCCCCCUUCUUUUUAUUUUUUCUU